ACUCCUGCGGGAGGCAGCAGUGGGGAAUAUUGGACACUGGGCGCAAGCCUGAUCCAGCCAUGCCGCGUGAGUGAUGAAGGCCCUAGGGUUGUAAAGCUCUUUCACCGGUGAAGAUAAUGACGGUAACCGGAGAAGAAGCCCCGGCUAACUUCGUGCCAGCAGCCGCGGUAAUACGAAGGGGGCUAGCGUUGUUCGGAUUUACUGGGCGUAAAGCGCACGUAGGCGGACUAUUAAGUCAGGGGUGAAAUCCCGGGGCUCAACCCCGGAACUGCCUUUGAUACUGGUAGUCUUGAGUUCGAGAGAGGUGAGUGGAAUUCCGAGUGUAGAGGUGAAAUUCGUAGAUAUUCGGAGGAACACCAGUGGCGAAGGCGGCUCACUGGCUCGAUACUGACGCUGAGGUGCGAAAGCGUGGGGAGCAAACAGGAUUAGAUACCCGAGUAGUCCCA
rnacentral:rRNA from 1 species